AUAUUAUGUUGAUUUUCCAUCCAAAUCAUCAUUUUGAAAAGAUAUUGAAAAGUCAUGGAUUUAUGGUUUACUAAGAAAUGUUGACGUGGUGAUUGAAACGUGACGUUUGAACUGUACGGCGGGAGAUCAUUUUUGAGCAACAGUUCAGUCAGAGUCUGACCAACGGUGUUCAGCAGCUCCACCUUAAUGGUGCUGCUUCACUCUGCUACUGGUGGUGGAUCAGGCUGACGGCAACCAUUGGUCUAACGUUAGGAUGCAGCACAUGAGAAUUUCUAAACGGAAAAAAGUGAAUAAAUGUACUUGCUUUUCAAACUAAUAACAA